ACAACACCUGCACUCCAUAAGAGCAGUGAAACCACAGAUGAAGAUUCAUGGGACCACUAGAGUCAUCUAAUACACUCCCUCGCAGUUACAAGCUCUAUGUUAUAAAUCAUUUUCAUAAAUAUAUGAACACAGAAGAUAAAAAUGAACUAUGGAAUUAACUCCUGUCUGCAGUAAAGGCAACAAUAGAGCCUUACUUCUUCAGUUCAAUUUUUUUUUUUUUUUUGACCUUGCCUCCACUCACUUUCACAAAUCCAGUUUUGAAGAUUGUUCUGGCUUAGAUGGUCCGGAGAGAAUGGGAGAGAAAAAGACAGCAUUACUGAAAAUUCCUAUUUCCCUGCUGAGAGAUGCUGCAGCUCCACCCAGGAGUGAAACAGAAAUGUGGUGCCAUGUGGGUAGCAAAAACGGUCUAAUGUGGAUACUCACAUUCGCAGUCAACAACCAGGGUGAGCUGCAUCUUGCUAAGCAGCCAGUUCCCAAAGAAGAUUACACGCUACACAGGAUUGAUGGCUGCAUCGAGGAACCAGAGGGAUGGCAGUGAAUGACAU